rnacentral:rRNA from 1 species
UACGUAGGGUGCGAGCGUUGUCCGGAAUUAUUGGGCGUAAAGGGCUCGUAGGCGGUCUGUCACGUCGGUAGUGAAAACACGGGGCUUAACCCCGUGCCUGCUUCCGAUACGGGCAGACUAGAGGUAUGCAGGGGAGAACGGAAUUCCUGGUGUAGCGGUGAAAUGCGCAGAUAUCAGGAGGAACACCGGUGGCGAAGGCGGUUCUCUGGGCAUUACCUGACGCUGAGGAGCGAAAGUGUGGGGAGCGAACAGG